rnacentral:rRNA from 1 species
AGAGUUUGAUCAUGGCUCAGAAUCAACGCUGGCGGCGUGCCUAACACAUGCAAGUCGAGCGAGAAAGGGGCUUCGGCCCUGAGUAAAGCGGCGCACGGGUGAGUAACACGUGGGUAAUCUGCCCUCGAGUGGGGAAUAACACCGGGAAACCGGUGCUAAUACCGCAUACGAUCAUGAUGUCUUCGGAUGUUGUGAUGAAAGGAGCAAUCCGCUCUUGGAGGAGCCCGCGGCUGAUUAGCUAGUUGGUGAGGUAAUGGCUCACCAAGGCUACGAUCAGUAUCCGGUCUGAGAGGACGGUCGGACACACUGGAACUGAGACACGGUCCAGACUCCUACGGGAGGCAGCAGUGGGGAAUUUUUCGCAAUGGGGGCAACCCUGACGAAGCAACGCCGCGUGGAUGAUGAAGUAUCUCGGUACGUAAAAUCCUUUCGACGGGGAAGAAAACCGCAAGGUUUGACGGUACCCGUAGAAGAAGCCCCGGCUAACUCCGUGCCAGCAGCCGCGGUAAUACGGGGGGGGCAAGCGUUGUUCGGAAUUACUGGGCGUAAAGGGCGCGUAGGCGGUCCGCUAAGUUGAAUGUGAAAACUCUGGGCUUAACCCAGAGCCUGCAUUCAAUACUGGCAGGCUAGAGUUCUGGAGGGGAUAGCGGAAUUCCUGGUGUAGCGGUGAAAUGCGUAGAUAUCAGGAGGAACACCGGUGGCGAAGGCGGCUAUCUGGACAGAGUCUGACGCUGAGGCGCGAAAGCUAGGGGAGCAAACAGGAUUAGAUACCCUAGUAGUCC